rnacentral:lncRNA from 1 species
UGUUCCAAACAAAUGAUGACGCCAUAUUAUCAGAGAUCAGUUACAAACCAAGGUUGCAUACUACCUAUGAAUUUCCAGUGGUUUGCUUUGUGAAGAGGUAAAUUCCCCUCUGUGAUGCAUUUUGGAAUGAGUGGGUUUGAUGCCCACACCUUGAAAGAAAUCCCUCAAAAAACAAAAGGACAAGAGUCACCAACUCCCACACAAAGUAAAACAUGGACACUUAAUUUUAACAGUGUUAAUAAGGGGAGCAACUAUCCAAGAAGUCACUGUAUCAAUAAUGCCUGUGUUAUAACACCCUCUCCUCCCUAAAGCAAGGGAACAAGUGAUACAUCUUGUCUGAAAACCAGUUUCAUCAAUACUGUUGAUGUGUCUGUACAAAGAUGAGUAGCAACAUCUGUUACCAGUUUCACUACAUUUUGGAGUUUUGAAUAACAUAUCUAUACCAUGAUAUUUACACUUUUUAAUGAGUUAAUUUUAAGUGAAAUUGCCAUUCUAACUCUGAAAUCAAGCUCAUACAUAAU